rnacentral:lncRNA from 1 species
GCGAUGGUUGAUUUUCCAUGCUCGUCGAUAUUGUAAAGACAAGACGAAAUAAUAAUGUGUACAAGGUGAAGGAUAAACGCAGUGAACGAUCCAGAGAAUUUCAGUACCCCUACUGGUCGGUGAUAAAAUUGUUUUACGACAAUGUGCUAAUGAAACAGAUACGAAAGAAUCCGAGGUUAUAUUUUCGGUGAGCCUCCAGAAUUCAUAAUUCAAGACGGGUACGAAAUGAUCCUUCAGAUUGUCUGGGAUUUUGGAAAUGGCAUAAGUCAGAAAUUUUGGAUAAACUGUGUUCACUUUGGAAACUCCGAUACUUACGGAGAAGCGAAAACAGCCGUGACCAAAAUUUUCAAAAACUCGCCAAUUUCCGACGGUCAAUACGGUUCGGCCAAUUUACACAUCGAAGUCAAUUAAAGUUUGAGUUUCAUAAUUCGUACGGUAAAAUAAAUCCACCAUUACCCCGGUUGCCCCAUCGUGGUUACACCCUUGUCUUUGACAAAACUCUGCAGUUGUGUUUAUCGGUUCCUAAUUCCUUGUCAGCUGGAAAACCACAGGAAUACGUAGAAUUCGGCACCAACAAACAUAUGUGUGAACAGAAUCCGUGGAUGCAGGGAUUUGGAAUCUGGAAAUAACAGUUUACAUAGUUUCGCGUUCCUUGUAAAUUUGAUUAUACCGAGGGUACAAUACUUACAUCGGGUCUCAGAGUUGAGUGAUAAAUGUGUAUCCCGUAGAUGGAUUCAUUUUCUAUUGCAACAAUAGCUUGUUCAUUUCCCGUGAAUUUGUUGCAAGAUCGAACGCUCUUAGUUCUUCAGUCGCUCCAGUGAUAUUUUUUCUCGAAAACCGCUACCGAGUAGGGCUAUUUCGUCAUUGCGCGCAAGAUGAUUUAUAGAUCUUUGAUCGCAAGAUCCGUGAAUGCUGCAUUCAUCGAUAUCUGGAAUGAUUUUUGUUCGUGAGAGUAGGCAACUCACAUGAGUGACGAAAAACUAUCGCCUUAACUAACUAUCUUCUAACUUAGGUCUUCAAUAAUGGAAUGCGUUGCAAGCAAAUGUAUACAAAUAUUUUAACAAUAACUUUUUUCGAAUUAUUAUUGAAUUCUCAGCAUCUUUGCAAAAAGAAAACGUUGUCUUACAAUUAUUCCUCUUCCUAUAUGGCCGAGGGCUGGGGUCAAAGGUGGUCCUCGAUUACUGUGGAGUGAAAUCAGUUGUAAGGCAGAUUACCGUUCAUUUAAAACGAGUUUUAUCGACCGUGCAGCUGAACUUGCACUUUGUAUUGGACCAUCUAUGUAAUAUACGUGAAUUCGGAGCUUGAUAACCAGUUUUGAGUAUGAGGUAGUGAACUUUCAAAUUAGUACUUAGGUUCGACCUGCAGUCAUUGCUCAUCAAUUACUGUAUCGAUAGCGUGAAAUGUUUAGAACUUUGAACUCGGGGUUCCCAUUUAUUUCGGAUGACACAUUUCUUUACACAUUGGAAAAUUGUUUAAAUUUAAUAAGCGUCUACUUACCGCCUGAAAGUAAUUAGUAAACGGCGAUGACGGGAGGAGGAGCAAUACUGAACAAACAAAUCAGGAACUGUUCAAGUAUUGACUGGUUAGCGAGGUGCACGGUACUGUUCAUUAUUUAAGUCCCCAGUUCGAAGAAGGGAGCGGAUAAGCGACCUUGAAUGUUUUCGUAAGUUUGGUUGGAAAAGGGGAAAGCUACCAAACCGAUGAAAACAUUAACGGUUGCGUCGAACAAUUCGCAACUAUUUGCCUGUUAAAUAUGUGUUAGGUCAGAUUUCUACUCAACCGAAUCACGUAAGUAUACAAUUUUCUCAUCAUCUAUGUACAUAACGCUUCAAAUAACAUAAGUAAGAUGGAAAUAAUACAUGCCAUGGCAGAAUCGGUCGAAUCGACAACUCGCAUAAUUAUCUGCGAUGGUGCUUUUAAAUGCUCGUC